rnacentral:rRNA from 1 species
AAUUUUGGACAAUGGGCGCAAGCCUGAUCCAGCCAUGCCGCGUGAGUGAAGAAGGCCUNCGGGUUNUNAAGCUCUUUCGGACGGANAGAAAUCGCGCAGGCUAAUACCCUGCGCGGAUGACGGUACCGUCAUAAUAAGCACCGGCUAACUACGUGCCAGCAGCCGCGGUAAAACGGAGGGUGCGAGCGUUAAUCGGAAUUACAGGGAGUAAAGCGUGCGCAGGGGGGUGAUUAAGACAGGCGUUAAAAUCCCGGGCCUAAGCUGGGAACUGCCGUUGUGACUGGUCAGCCAAAGUACGGCCGGGGGGGGUGGAAUUCCACGUGUAGCAGUGAAAUGCGUAGAGAUGUGGAGGAACACCGAUGGCGAAGGCAGCCCCCUGGGCCGAUACUGACGCUCAUGCACGAAAGCGUGGGUAGCAAACAGG